rnacentral:tRNA from 1 species
UGGGGAGUGGCCAAGUGGCAAGGCAGCGGCCUUUGGAGCCGAAGAUCGCAGGUUCGAAUCCUGCCUCCCCAG